rnacentral:lncRNA from 1 species
CUUAUAAGCAUAGCUUAAACUUGAUUAGCACAUAAGGGAAGAUUAUUAGGUAAGGGCUCCUUCAGUCCCAUCAGUUGGCUAGCUAGGAGUUAUUGCUUCUGAGCAGAUUGGAUCAAAAGAAAUCAUCACUACUUUCUUAUAGAAACAUAAGAUCAAACCAUUAGUUAAUAACCCCCUCAAAAGAAGAAAGAAACAUUACAUCCUUAUGGAGUUAGAUCUUUAGACUCCCUAUCUGGGAAACAAACAAGCAAAUCAGUAAAAAGGAAACAUGAGACACAGAAGACUGAACAGACUA